CGACCCCCCCCCCCGCAACACCCACCCACCUCCGCUUCCCAGAUGCCAGCCGGGAGGGUGCCCCUGUGAGCGUGCUCCAAGGCCUCCGUUAGCUCCGGGCAGGGCUCGGCUGUCUUCAUGGGACCCUGGAGGGACCAAAGAGAGGCGUUUUGAACAUUAAGACGCUUUGCUGCUUCUCACCUGAAACACGUAACAGGAACACCAACCUCUUCAGCCGCGGGAAAUCUUCUUUGACACAAAACUCAAACCGAGUCAACCCAAAGUUCCAAGUUCUUUGCUUUCUCUUCUGUGUGUGUGUUGGUUUGUCCCAAAAGUCAGUUUGCAAGUUGAAACUUCAUGAAAUUACUCGUAGCAGAAAUAAAGUACAUUGUACAAAUCA
rnacentral:lncRNA from 10 species